AGCAGCUAGCUGGACCUGCGUGUGGUCACACCCCUACAGCAGAGUUCUGUAUGCUGGGUCUUGAGAAGAUUAUGGCAGCCCAGUAUUUAUGGGGUUUUUCAUGCUUGGCAAGAUGUGAAAUAGUUUUCCCCGUGAGAUCAGGAUGCUGGUGAUGGUGGGGAGCCACGGAAAAAUAAAUAUGGAGAGAAAACCCAGGAGGUCUCAAGGAAAUAGUCUCGUCUACCAAAAGGUUCUGAAAACAAAGGCGAAGACCCAGGAGGCUUAUGUGGACUUUUAGGAGCUCAUUGACUUCCACUGACACCUUUCAGUUAAACAGCAGAAAAGACAAUCUGAGAAUGUGACUAUUCUACAUCUCAGCAUAGAAACAGAAUACACGGCAACCCCCUACUGUUGAGAACAACUGGGAACAAGAACAAGAACGUGCUUCCAAGCAUCUGCUUGUCAGCUUUCAGAGGUGACAGAAAUACUGCAGAUCGACAUCUGCUGGUGUGUGUUCCAACAUUACACAUGGACUGUAAAACAAAAUCGGGACUGGGUGCUAAUAAACAAUAACGUUAAUGCAAGUUUUAUAUGACAUCAACAGCCUACGAGCGCAAGCACACCCUCUGCAAGGGGAUUACUGGCUAGGUUCAGACGUGGACAGAAUCGCAAAGGGGGGUUUCUAAGGACUUCUUGCCAGCUUUUGCUCCAAAAUAUGACUCCCAUGGAGUGUCAGUGUUUCCAGCAAAGAGACAGGAACUCCCUGAUUUGUUUUGGGUGCAGGUGAAAGAUAAGACCGAUGGAAACAAAAAGGGAAAUACAUUGGGCAACGAGAAUGUGGGAGAGUUGAGACCUCAUACAGCAGGGAAAAGAUAGGCUAUUCCAUCAACAGUUCCAGAAAAGCCCUCCAUUAAAAAAAAACAAUCUCUACGAUGCACCAUAUACCAAUAACUGACAACGGGUUUCAUGUCUUGAAUUAAAAAUAAAUAAAACCAGAAACCAGGUCCAGCAUCAUACUAUAACUGGGAUGAAACCCUAAGUGAUACCCAAGUGCCAGAAAAUGUAAAUUCAGUUACAUUAAAAAUUUUGCAAGAUGUUGUGUAUGUUAUUCCAUCCAGGCAGCACUACAUAAAAGCACAGCAACAUUUUGAGUAAAAUAUAUGUGUCUGUAUUACUUCUAUCAGUUUUUGAAAUGAAAUGAACUCAAAGAUAUUUGCAAUUGAUAGGGCAUAAAUUUCUAGUUUGGACACUGUGCUAUGGUGUAAAACGCUGUUAUCUGGGGAGGUUGGAUGCAUUAUGUUUGCAAUUUCUUCUUCUUCUUCUUUUUUGGACUGUAUUUGAGGCAAGCAAAAGUUCUGGGGACAGGGAUUGAACCCAUGGCACAGUAGUGACAACUUCAGAUCCUUAACCCGCUGAGCCACCAGGGAACUCCUGGAACUCCCGUCUGCAACUUCUUGGGAGUCUUAAAUGAGCACCAAAAAAAAAAAAAAAAAAAAAAAAAAAGAAAGGAAAAAAACAAAACAAAAAACCCUGCAUAAGCAGUAAGGCUUUUUCUAGAACCCCAGUCGCUAAAAAUGAAGCAAAGCAUAGGUGAUUCAGAAACAAAACCAAAAAAGCAAAGAAAUGUACAAGCUCACAAGACAUGAAAACCUACAGCACAGAGACACACACACACCCCAGAGACACACCCCAGACUGCAA
rnacentral:lncRNA from 1 species